AAGGCACCACCAGGAGUGGAGCCUGCGGCUUAAUUUGACUCAACACGGGAAAACUCACCCGGCCCGGACACUGGAAGGAUUGACAGAUUGAGAGCUCUUUCUUGAUUCAGUGGGUGGUGGUGCAUGGCCGUUCUUAGUUGGUGGAGCGAUUUGUCUGGUUAAUUCCGAUAACGAACGAGACUCUAGCCUACUAAAUAGAUCGUUGGCUUACAAACGCCAAUGAGACUUCUUAGAGGGACAGGCGGCGAUUCAGCCGCACAAAACAGAGCAAUAACAGGUCUGUGAUGCCCUUAGAUGUCCGGGGCUGCACGCGCGCUACACUGAAGGAAUCAGCGUGCUAAAACCAUUGUCGAAAGGCAUUGGUAAACCCAUUAAAAUCCUACGUGAUUGGGAUCGGGAAUUGCAAUUAUUUCCCUUGAACGAGGAAUUCCCAGUAAGUGUGGGUCAUAAGCUCGCGUUGAUUACGUCCCUGCCCUUUGUACACACCGCCCGUCGCUGCCCGGGACUGAGCCGUUUCGA
rnacentral:rRNA from 1 species